CGAUUCAACACUCACAAUUCCAGAACCUAAACUCAGCAUUUAUAUAACUAAUUUUAGUAACAACACACGAAACUUAAUCAAGAUUCAGAACACUUACCCAAAAGAAACAUCAAUUAAAAUGAAUUCCUCAGUUUGUUGGAGGGUUAAUCGCAAGCAAACCUUUACCUAAAGAUAAAUUCACAUUGUGAAAACUAUAAUUACACAGUACAAAUAAAAAAUCGUAUCCCAAAUGUAACAAUCCCUAAAACUAAAUUCGAAACUUAGAACCACAACCUUACCACAAAUGACCCACACCGGUGUAGAAGAAACAAAGGAGGAGAAAUCCCAAAAGCAGAGAAAAGUGUAAAAGAGGAAGCCACAGGAGAAAAAUCUUAUUACUAAACUUGAAUUGAAUAGCAAAGGAAAGAAACAAAACAAAAAUUUGCAGGAAAGAAUAAGCUGACGUGAAAGUGGAGGGGCAAAAGAGAGUGGACGAUUUGAGGGAGAGAAAUUUUUGGGAUUAUGCCAAAUAUUACUAUUCUUUUAGAAAAAAUUAACAAAACAAAGAUAAUAACAAUAAUAAAAAUUAAAGAAUAAACACUUAACUAUCCAAAUCCUAUCAUACUUCUAAGAUUUGAAUUAAAUUCAAAAUUUGACUACAUGGCCGCACGAACAAAGAAUAGCAAAAGUAUUUUCUCUCCACAUACAUAAAAUUCAAACACGAGACCUUUGGGUAAGCUGAAGCCUUAUCAUUGAACCAGUAGGCUCAUCCUUGUAAUUAAUAGAUGCACAAAAAUAAUUUAUAAAUUAAAUGUUCAAAGAUAGGGGUUGACAAAAAUAAAAAAAGUUUAAGGAAAGGGAUUUGAACAAAAAAUCUCUCACACACAAAUACAACACUUAACCACUAAACCAAAUCAAAUCAUUUAUCAAAAUUUUCACAAUCUAAACUCAAAAACAAAACAUGAUCACUCUUGAUUUCACUAACCUGAUUUCUACUAACCCGGCCGGUUUUUGGGACGUGACAAAACC
rnacentral:lncRNA from 1 species